UGUUCAUUUCGGGCCGUAGUGUAGAUCCAUUCCCGCGCCACCACCAAAAUAACGAAAACGAGAAAUGCCUCCCAACCUCAUUUCCCACGUAUCGGCACAUGACUCGUAACAAGGAACCCCUCCACUAACUUCCUUCUCUUCUCUCUUUUAUUCAUCCUAUAUCGCGCUGUGACUAAAAACCAGAGUCCAUGGCUUCUGCAGUCCCAAUGCAAAGGAGGUUUGUCAAAACACUCUCUCUUCUAUUUUCCAGAUUCCAUGGUUGGACAAUCGACAUGUCAUGUUUGGACAUCUUAUUGAUGGAAUAGAUGUUGUGAGAAAACUGGAAUCCCAGGAGACAAGCAGGUCAUAUACUCCUUGGGUGCCAUGCACAAUGUCAAUUGCGGAGAGCUGCCUAUAGAUGGUUGAUUUAGCUGUUAAUUGAUUUGUCCCUUGGUUUCUUUCUGUCUUUUUCCUAGUUGUCACCUUUUCUGUUUAUUGUGCAAAUGAUUUGGCCAACAAUCCCGUACAUCAGAUAUUGUUAGUUUUGGGUGAGGAAAACUCAGACGAUUUUCGAUGAGCUAGCAUUGGAGGAGGCAGUUCACAGGCAAUUCUGGGAUGCCAAGUUGGAGAAUAUGGCUUGCUCAAAAAGAAAAGCAACUUGGGGACUACGAUUUUUGUGAUCUUUAUCCUUUAAUGAUAAUUUAAUAAGCUUAAGAUA